CACUCCUACGGGAGGCAGCAGUGGGGAAUAUUGGACAAUGGGCGCAAGCCUGAUCCAGCCAUGCCGCGUGAGUGAUGAAGGCCCUAGGGUUGUAAAGCUCUUUCACCGGAGAAGAUAAUGACGGUAUCCGGAGAAGAAGCCCCGGCUAACUUCGUGCCAGCAGCCGCGGUAAUACGAAGGGGGCUAGCGUUGUUCGGAAUUACUGGGCGUAAAGCGCACGUAGGCGGAUCGAUCAGUCAGGGGUGAAAUCCCAGGGCUCAACCCUGGAACUGCCUUUGAUACUGUCGAUCUGGAGUAUGGAAGAGGUGAGUGGAAUUCCGAGUGUAGAGGUGAAAUUCGUAGAUAUUCGGAGGAACACCAGUGGCGAAGGCGGCUCACUGGUCCAUUACUGACGCUGAGGUGCGAAAGCGUGGGGAGCAAACAGGAUUAGAUACCCCUGUAGUCCCAUGA
rnacentral:rRNA from 1 species